rnacentral:misc_RNA from 1 species
UUUCCAUUUUCUCCAGAAGAAUUGGUUUUUGUUGGGGAUUGUGAUUGUUAUCAUUUUGGCACGAUUGGCACCAAAAUUUGGCGUACAAGGAGGUGCCAAAUCCAUAUGAGGGAACAGGGAACCAGGAUGAAUAUUUUCAGCUUACUGUCAUGAGAACAAAAUUUACCAUGUCGAGCAUAAGAUGGGCUUUCAAUUGUGUGACCUGGACCCCUACAAAAUCUGAAUGGAUACUAGCCUCACAGAGCAUACAAACAGAGGAGAAAUUAAGGAUUGGGAAAUUUUACUACAAAAAGGAUGCCAGGUCUGCCAUUGCUGGGAGGUUGCUGCUGAGAAAAGCGAUCUCAGAGUUGCUAGACAUUCCCUAUGGAGAUGUAAAACUUGGGCGUACAGAAAAGGGAAAACCAUAUCUGAUGAAUGAGGUACAGCAGAAGUUGAGUUUCAAUGUAUCUCACCAUGGGGACUGGGCUGUGCUGGCCGCUGACACUGGUGUUGAUGUAGGGAUUGAUGUGAUGAAGAUUGAGAGACCUAGAGGGAAAUCUGUGGAAAAGUUCCUAUCCACUAUGCAACCACAGUUUACUGUGGAAGAAUUGGAUGCAAUUCAUUCACCUCCUAAUGAAUGGGAUCAGUUAGCAGUAUUUUAUCGUCACUGGUGUCUAAAAGAAAGUUAUGUCAAGACGUUAGGCAUUGGUAUUGGAUUCGAUGUUCAUAGACUUGGUUUCAGAUUGAACACGGAUUUGUUAGAGAAGGACACAGUAGUUACAGAUACUGAAGUAUGUGUUGAUGGAAAACUCGAGCACAAUUGGAUAUUUGAAGAAACAAUGUUGGAUGAAGUCCAUUGUGUGUCAACUGCAGUGAAUGCAGAUAUAAAUGUUUUAAAGACAAGGAAACCACACAAUUUUAGAAUGCUCACCUUUGAGGAUUUGGUUGAAGGGUCACAGCCUCAGUCUGAUCCAGAUAUAGCCUAUUGGGAAAACUUCAGUGUUAAAGAUGAAAAUCCUUGGACAAAAUAAAUGCAUUUUAAAGCAUCUAAUGAUUAGUCAAGAACUAAUUAUUCUUUAAUUGAAACUUUAUAGAUUAUAUUAUAAAAAUAAAAACCAUAUAGAGAUAUAAACUCCAGUAAAAGAUAAAUCAAACAUUACUGAGAUUAUAAAAGGUUAAAAUGGUCCAGUAUUGAAUAAUUCAGUUAAUAUUAAAUUUAUUGGCUUAUGAAAAAUCUAGUAAAAUGAACAGAAUUAAAUCCUGAUUUUGUAAAUUUACAUACAAUAAGCAUCAGGAUUAUUGCUUUAGUACAUUUAAUUGAACAUGAAUUGAAAAUAUCAACAUUGUUAAUAUUUAACAGUUGAAAUAGACGUGAUGAGUCUAUGUGCUUAUACUGGAGUAUGUGAAAUUUAAUAAAAUUUUAUUCUGAUGUACAAAUUUUCAUUUUGACUUGAGUAAGGACAGACAAAAUUAAAACAGUUGGUUAAAGAGUGACAAUUCUCUGUAAACUGGGUCAGCAGACAAAUACUUUAAUAAUAUGUAUUAGGAGCAUAGCAGCAAAAUGUCAGGAUAAGUGUUUUUUUUUUUUUUUUUCAAUCUUAUUAGUUGUAGGGAAUGACAAAUCCACAGUGUGAAUAUAUAUAAAAACAACAGCAUUUAGGUUUCUUCUGGGGUCAAUUGUGUAUUUAAAUCUAACUCACCAAACCAAGACCAAAUGCUUUUUUUCUUAAAAAAAAAUGUGAAAAAAAUAAUUUCAUAAAAAUUAUGGUCAGACGUGCCUAUUAACCAUGUUCAAGUAUAUCUGGUCUAACAUAAUUUUUUAUUUACAGCUUGUCAGAUAGCUAUAUAAUGUUUUAUGAUUAAAGCUUUUUUAAUGUUGCCUUCCCAGGACCCAUCAAACCUGAAAUCACAGUCAAAUAUAUUGCUGUGUCAACCAUAUUUUUUAACAGUGGACUGUCUUUAAGAACAGAGGAUCUGAAGAGGGCCC